GAGAGAGAGAGAGAGAGAGAGAGAGAGAGAGAGAGAGAGAGGGGCGUACUAUCCGCUUCAACCCUACUGCGAAACAAAGAAGGCACAAACUCUCUCUAUAC